AUUGAACGCUGGCGGCAGGCUUAACACAUGCAAGUCGAGCGGGGUGAUGGUGCUUGCACUAUCACUUAGCGGCGGACGGGUGAGUAAUGCUUAGGAAUCUGCCUAUUAGUGGGGGACAACAUCUCGAAAGGGCUGCUAAUACCGCAUACGUCCUACGGGAGAAAGCAGGGGAUCACUUGUGACCUUGCGCUAAUAGAUGAGCGUAAGUCGGAUUAGCUGGUUGGUGGGGUAAAGGCCUACCAAGGCGACGAGCUGUAGCGGGUCUGAGAGGAUGAUCCGCCACACUGGGACGGAGACACGGCCCAGACUCCUACGGGAGGCAGCAGUGGGGAAUAUUGGACAAUGGGGGGAACCCUGAUCCAGCCAUGCCGCGUGUGUGAAGAAGGCCUUAUGGUUGUAAAGCACUUUAAGCGAGGAGGAGGCUCUUUUGGUUAAUACCCAAGAUGAGUGGACGUUACUCGCAGAAUAAGCACCGGCUAACUCUGUGCCAGCCGCCGCCGUAA
rnacentral:rRNA from 1 species